CAGCCAGUUGAAUAAGUCCUUAAAUGUGAUAGGGAAGCAUCCAACGGGAAAGUGUGUUAUCUAUUUUAAGAGCAACGGGGCUGGCAGGUAGGAUUUAGUUUCUCCCUGUCUCUGGCCCACACUCCAGUACAGUAGGUGGCGGUAAUGCACCAUAACGUUGGAUGCCAACCGCCGAUACAAAUUGAAAGAAGAAAAAACAUGGCGGACAGCCACUAGCUCAAUCCACAAAUAUUUCAAAGCAAGCAUGCUGUGUUGACGGAGCUAGCUAUCUGUUGUUCGAGCAUGCCCAUGUUAUUAGCUUGGAGGAAAAAGGAAGGAGCUGGUCGACAUCCCCUUGACGCAAUGAAAAAGGCGCACUUCUAUUGAGAGAACCAACUGAAUACACGUUUGAAGACUGUUAUGAUCUUUUAAGUGAUCCCUGAGUGUGUUUGGGUGGGUGACUGAGGUCUGCUGACAGCUGGGGCCACCUCUUUGUUGUACCCUGUCAUCUGCCUCCAACGCCAACCCCCUGCCUGGCCGACAGAAGGGGAGAGCGUUAAGCGCGAAUCUGUGGGGAAGUCAACCUGAGCAUCCACAAAUGAAGUUAGUCAUUUCCAAAUGAAACACGGUCUAUAUGUUGGAGUUCAUGCUUUUUGAA
rnacentral:lncRNA from 8 species